rnacentral:rRNA from 1 species
CAGCCGCCGCGGUAAUACCGGCGGCCCGAGUGGCGGUCACUAUUAUUGGGCUUAAAGCGUCCGUAGCCGGGUUGGGAAGUCCUCCGGGAAAUCUGGCCGCUUAACGGUCAGAAUGCCGGAGGAUACUCCCAGCCUAGGGAGCGGGAGAGGCCGAGGGGAUUCCCGGGGUAGGGGUGGAAUCCUAUAAUCCCGGGAGGUCCACCUGUGGCGAAGGCGCUCGGCUGGAACGCGUCCGACGGUGAGGGACGAAGGCCAGGGGAGCAAACCGGAUUAGAUACCCGGGUAGUCCUGGCUGUAAACGAUGCGGACUUUGUGUCGGACAAGCUAUGAGCUUGUCCGGUGCCGGAGGGAAACCGUUAAGUCCGCCGCCUGGGGAGUACGGCCGCAAGGCUGAAACUUAAAGGAAUUGGCGGG